rnacentral:rRNA from 1 species
GACGAACGCUGGCGGCGUGCCUAAUACAUGCAAGUCGAGCGAAGUUUUUCUGGUGCUUGCACUAGAAAAACUUAGCGGCGAACGGGUGAGUAACACGUAAAGAACCUGCCUCAUAGACUGGGACAACUAUUGGAAACGAUAGCUAAUACCGGAUAACAGUAUUUCUCGCAUGAGAGAUAUUUAAAAGUUGGUUAUGCUAACACUAUGAGAUGGCUUUGCGGUGCAUUAGCUAGUUGGUGGGGCAAAGGCCCACCAAGGCGACGAUGCAUAGCCGACCUGAGAGGGUGAUCGGCCACACUGGGACUGAGACACGGCCCAGACUCCUACGGGAGGCAGCAGUAGGGAAUCUUCCGCAAUGGGCGAAAGCCUGACGGAGCAACGCCGCGUGAGUGAAGAAGGAUUUCGGUUCGUAAAGCUCUGUUGUUAGGGAAGAAUGGAUAUGUAGUAACUAUACAUGUAAGAGACGGUACCUAACCAGAAAGCCACGGCUAACUACGUG